rnacentral:rRNA from 1 species
UACAGAGGGGGCGAGCGUUAUUCGGAAUUAUUGGGCGUAAAGGGCGCGUAGGCGGCUGGGCAAGUCCAAGGUGAAAUCCCUCGGCUCAACCGAGGAACUGCCUUGGAAACUGCCCGGCUUGAGGCCGGGAGAGGGUAGUGGAAUUCCCAGUGUAGCGGUGAAAUGCGUAGAUAUUGGGAGGAACACCGGUGGCGAAGGCGGCUACCUGGACCGGUUCUGACGCUGAUGCGCGAAAGCGUGGGGAGCAAAC